rnacentral:rRNA from 1 species
GAUGAACGCUGGCGGCGUGCCUAAUACAUGCAAGUCGAACGGACAGACGAGGAGCUUGCUCCUCUGACGUUAGCGGCGGACGGGAGAAUAACACGUGGAUCACCUACCUAUAAGACUGGGAUAACUUCGGGAAACCGGAGCUAAUCCCGGAUAAUAUAUUGAACCGAAUGGUUGAAUAGAGAAAGACGGUUUUCCUGUCUCUUAUAGUUGGUUCCGCGCCGGAUUAGCUAGUUGUUAAGGUAAAGGCUUAUCAAGGCAACGCUGCGUAGCCGACCUGAGAGGGGGGUAGGCCACCCUGGAACUGAGACACGGUCAAGACUCCUACGGGAGGCAGCAGUAUGGAAUCGUCCGCAAUGGGCGAAAGCCUGACGGAGCAGCGCCGCGUGAGUGAUGAAGGUCCUCGGAUCGUAAUACUCUGUUAUUAGGGAAGAACAAAUGUGGAAGUAACUGUGCACGUCUUGACGGUACCUAAUCAAAAAGCCACGGCUAACUACGUG